rnacentral:ncRNA from 1 species
UGAGUAGGGUGAAGCCAGGGGAAACUCUGGUGGAAGCUCGUAGCGAUUCUGACGUGCAACCAUUCGCAACCCA